UUAAGUCGACCGCCUGGGGAGUACGGCCGCAAGGUUAAAACUCAAAUGAAUUGACGGGGGCCCGCACAAGCGGUGGAGCAUGUGGUUUAAUUCGAUGCAACGCGAAGAACCUUACCUGGUCUUGACAUCCACGGAAGUUUUCAGAGAUGAGAAUGUGCCUUCGGGAACCGUGAGACAGGUGCUGCAUGGCUGUCGUCAGCUCGUGUUGUGAAAUGUUGGGUUAAGUCCCGCAACGAGCGCAACCCUUAUCCUUUGUUGCCAGCGGUCCGGCCGGGAACUCAAAGGAGACUGCCAGUGAUAAACUGGAGGAAGGUGGGGAUGACGUCAAGUCAUCAUGGCCCUUACGACCAGGGCUACACACGUGCUACAAUGGCGCAUACAAAGAGAAGCGACCUCGCGAGAGCAAGCGGACCUCAUAAAGUGCGUCGUAGUCCGGAUUGGAGUCUGCAACUCGACUCCAUGAAGUCGGAAUCGCUAGUAAUCGUGGAUCAGAAUGCCACGGUGAAUACGUUCCCGGGCCUUGUACACACCGCCCGUCACACCAUGGGAGUGGGUUGCAAAAGAAGUAGGUAGCUUAACCUUCGGGAGGGCGCUUACCACUUUGUGAUUCAUGACUGGGGUGAAGUCGUAACAAGGUAACCGUAGG
rnacentral:rRNA from 1 species